UUUCAUCGUUUUCUUUGCCCACUAUCUUCUUCCUUCUCCCUUUGUAAUUAUCGCUUCACCACCGCCGCAAGCAAGGGAAGAAAUCUUGUCUCAAAUCUGUGGUCAAGUCUCCAUAUUUUGGCUAGAGAUUGGACUGUGCACAGGUAGGGGGUUUUCUCUCAAUUUUUCACUUGAUGUUUUCUUUCCUUAAUAUUUCUUUACCUUCAAAAUUUGCAAUUGACAGCUACUUGAGUUUAGUGUCUACUUUAAUUCGGUGUUCUGUUAUUGCAAAUACAUUUUUCUUAAGUAAUACGAUUCAUGCAAAUUUUGAUUGAUGAUUUGGAUUAUUUUCUUUACCAUGAACUCGAUGAAUUUUUCCCAUAUACCUUCUUCAAGUACCCAUGUUUUUGGUUUCCUUGAACUGUGUUUAAUUUUGAACACGGUUUGAAAUCCAUCAAUUUUACUUAGUUAACUCUUAAAGCUUGAAUAAAUGGUUUUCUGAAGACUAAAAAUGUUUCUACAGACAUCCAAAUUUUAUUUUUCCAUCCUAAUCAAGUCUUAUACUGUUCUUUUAAACUAGCCGUUGUCUGUUUGCUAAAAUUACCCAAUGAACUGCAUCUUCGAAAUGCGGCUUGAGUUCUAAACAGAUUUAUUUUGGUUUCCUGAUUUAUAUCUAAAUUCGAUGUUGGUCGGCGGUAAAUGAUCUACGACUAAAAAUGUUAGUUAUAAUCGUAGCCUUUUUAAAUUUCCAUCUUAGAAAUGCCACUUUGUUCAUAAUGGUGCAUGUGCCCAAGGAUACAAUGGCUUUGACAUUAAAUUUCAUAAUUGUUUUAUACGUUUUAUCCUUGCAUUUAGUAAGCAGCUGACCAACCCUUGUCAUGUUGCGUUUUAUUUUGUAAGAAAACUUAACUAUAUGUCUAUAGUUGAUCCAUUGAUUUUCCAAAUUGGGUCUCAUCUUUCUGCUCAUUUGGUACUCUUUUCCAACUAACUGAUCACUAGUGGUUUUUCUAUUUUGUACCCACUCAUACUAGAUGUUUUUCUUAUUUAUACUUUUCCCUAUGAAAGGUUAAUUUUUAUUAAGUUCUGAAAUGUGAAAUUGUUUUUAUAUUUGAGGACUUACAAUGAGUGCUUACCUAUGACAUAAUUACUCAACGUUUUCGGUAUUUUGAAUUGUUUUCAUUGACCAUGGAUUCUAUAUCGUGUUUCGUGGUAAGUGAUUCUUACUCUCAUACAGUUUUUGUGUUCAGUAAAAUCCGAUUUACUAAUCAUGUGAUUGCUGCCAAUGCAUUUGCGCAAGAUGUAGUUAAGAAUUUGUGAGAUCUCCAUAACAUUGUGCUUCGUGGAUGUUUUCUUUGUGACAACGUAUUUGGAAACUAGAUGACUCUACUUUAGGAACGUCAGACCUAAAUGGCACCCCACCACCUCGGUGGCAACCCGGAAGAUCGUUGCGGCAACGAUGGCUGGUAACCAGAACUACCCUGACGGUGACACUGGCCAUGAAUAGUAGAGUAAAUUUAUUUAUGGUUCUGAAUCUUGUUUAAACGGUAUUUGCAGUACGGAGAGAAGUUGCGAUAGUAAGCCGGGCAGAGCUUACGGAAGGCUUUAUCGCUUGGAAAGUUAGUAUUUUCUAAGCUUAUGAUAUUGUAUAUCACGGGGGGUAUCUGGGUAGUUUCAGUUCGCUUGAUUUGAUCCCAUGUCAUUUCUAUUGCACUUUGAUGUUAUAUAUAUGUUGGCUUCUACAGGAUCUUUAUAUGUUUUAAAUUGAAAACUUGUCAGUUUCGUGUAUAAUUGGUCUGGUCUCGGGCUAUACAGACUAGUUUCUGAAUUCAUUUUGUUGCCUAGAUGUUCUUGGCUUUUGGCUUUACGGACUACAUUCUUUACCAUUGUUCUUUUUGGCAUUUGUUUAAUCUAAGAUAGGAUCUGUACAGUGAACUUCUAAGUGUAAUUAAUAGCUACUUAUAUUCAUUUUCCUGUGAAAUCAUUAUUUGCUA